rnacentral:rRNA from 1 species
AUUGAACGCUGGCGGUAUGCUUAACACAUGCAAGUCGAACGGUAGCAGGCCUUCGGGCGCUGACGAGUGGCGGACGGGUGAGUAACACGUGGGCAACCUGCCUAUAAGACUGGGAUAACUUCGGGAAACCGGAGCUAAUACCGGAUAAUUCUUUUCCUCUCAUGAGGAAAAGAUGAAAGACGGUUUCGGCUGUCACUUAUAGAUGGGCCCGCGGCGCAUUAGCUAGUUGGUGAGGUAACGGCUCACCAAGGCAACGAUGCGUAGCCGACCUGAGAGGGUGAUCGGCCACACUGGGACUGAGACACGGCCCAGACUCCUACGGGAGGCAG